GUGACACUGAGUUCCCAGCCAAAGUUCAGCCAUGAAGAUCCUUUACCUUCUCUUUGCUGUUCUGUUGGUGCUCCAAGUUGCUCCUGGACUGGCACAGAAUAUUUGGACCCCAUCGCAAUGUGGAUGCUUUGGGGGUGACUGCCAUGUACCCUGUCCCCAUGGUACUAGACACUUUGGAAGGUGUGUCACACAGGGCUUUUGCUGCUUACGAAGGCGUCGCUGACAGCUCUGCCCCUGGUUUCAGCAGGAUCUCUGGGAAUCUGGUGACAACCUCUCACCUCUAGAAUGAUUAGAUCCUGCUACAAUGGAAGCCGGAAGCACUGUACAUUUGGGCUGGACAGAGCAGUGUGCGCUGGAGAAAUCCAAACAGGAGAGCUUUUAUCACUGAUAAAAGAUUGCAACUCCCCUUUUAAUAAA